UGCAGUCGAACGCCCUCUUUUAGAGGGAGUGGCAGACGGGUGAGUAACGCGUGGGAAACUACCUGAUGGUACGGAACAACACAGAGAAAUUUGUGCUAAUACCGUAUGUGCCCUCCGGGGGAAAGAUUUAUCGCCAUCAGAUGUGCCCGCGUUUGAUUAGCUAGUUGGUGAGGUAAUGGCUCACCAAGGCGACGAUCAAUAGCUGGUCUGAGAGGAUGAUCAGCCACACUGGGACUGAGACACGGCCCAGACUCCUACGGGAGGCAGCAGUGGGGAAUAUUGGACAAUGGGCGCAAGCCUGAUCCAGCCAUGCCGCGUGUGUGAUGAAGGCCCUAGGGUUGUAAAGCACUUUCAACGGUGAAGAUAAUGACGGUAACCGUAGAAGAAGCUCCGGCUAACUUCGUGCCAGCAGCCGCGGUAAUACGAAGGGAGCUAGCGUUGUUCGGAAUUACUGGGCGUAAAGCGCACGUAGGCGGACUAAUUAGUCAGGGGUGAAAUCCCGGGGCUCAACCCCGGAACUGCCUUUGAUACUGUUAGUCUAGAGAUCGAGAGAGGUGAGUGGAAUUCCGAGUGUAGAGGUG
rnacentral:rRNA from 1 species